CCUACGGGUGGCAGCAGUGAGGAAUAUUGGUCAAUGGGCGAGAGCCUGAACCAGCCAAGUCGCGUGAGGGAGUACUGCCCUAUGGGUUGUAAACCUCUUUUGUCGGGGAGCAAAAGCCGGACGUGUCCGGCUGUGAGAGUACCCGAAGAAAAAGCAUCGGCUAACUCCGUGCCAGCAGCCGCGGUAAUACGGAGGAUGCGAGCGUUAUCCGGAAUGAUUGGGCGUAAAGGGUGCGCAGGCGGGCCUGUAAGUCUGGAGUGAAACGCAUGGGCUCAACUCAUGCAUGGCCUUGGAAACUGGGGGACUGGAGAGCAGGAGAGGGCGGUGGAACGCCAGGUGUAGCGGUAAAAUGCGUAGAUAUAUGGAAGAACACCAGUGGCGAAGGCAGCCGCCUGGCCUGUUGCUGACGCUGAGGCACGAAAGCGUGGGGAGCAAAUAGGAUUAGAUACCCCAGUAGUC
rnacentral:rRNA from 1 species